rnacentral:misc_RNA from 1 species
AACGCAUAUUGCGCCCGAGGCCUCGGCCGAGGGCACGUCCGCUUGAACGCCACAAACACCAGCGCCACCCUACCUUUUCGAAAGGUGGACAGCAAGCGCCAGCUCCCUGUCGGGUGGAAUGUGACCGUCGUCCUUUCUGGUCGUCGGUUUAAUUCCGUGCCAUCGGAUGGGCCGUCGCGAAACUCACCUUUCCGUUCUGGCUGGGCGCCCCGCGGUGGCGGGGGAUACAACGUGCCGGGCGGGCUUCAGGGCAGUCACGCCCGCGGGAUCCGCAACCAGACGCGUCCCAUACCGAGUGGCCAGAAUCAUGCAACCGACUUGCGGGUGACCGAAAUGGGGAUGCUCGGUCGGCGUAGGAAGGAAGCAGCCCCUAAUGUUGGCUCCAAGUCGGGCGGGAUUACCCGCUGAAUUUAA